rnacentral:rRNA from 1 species
AUUGAACGCUGGCGGCAGGCCUAACACAUGCACGUCGAGCGGAGCGGCGGACGGGUGAGUAAUGCCUAGAAAUCUGCCUGGUAGUGGGGGAUCACGUACGGAAAAGGGCGCUAAUAACGCAUAAUAUCAGCUGAGCCUAGGUCGGCUUAGCUAGUUGGUGGGGUAAAUGCCUACCCAGGCGAAGAACCUUCACUGGUCUGAGAGGAUGAUCAGUCACAGUGGAACUGAGAGAAGGGCCAGACUCCGACGGGAGGCAGCAGUGGGUAAUUGGGGACAAUUGGCGAAUUCCUGAUCCAGACAUGCCGCGUGUGUGAAGAAGGUCUUCGGAUUGUAAAGCUCUUUAAGUUGGGAGGCGUUACCAACAGAAUAAGCACCGGCUAACUUCGUGCCAGCAGCCGUGGUAAUUC